UACGGGGGGGAGCAAGCGUUGUUCGGAUUUACUGGGCGUAAAGGGCGCGUAGGCGGUCAGCACAAGUCAGUUGUGAAAUCUCCGGGCUAACUCGGAAAGGUCAACUGAUACUGUGCGACUAGAGUGCAGAAGGGGCAACUGGAAUUCUCGGUGUAGCGGUGAAAUGCGUAGAUAUCGAGAGGAACACCUGCGGCGAAGGCG
rnacentral:rRNA from 1 species